ACUGCAAAAUCCUUUGACAAAGAGUAACAUAAAUAUCUAUAAACACAUCAAUAGAAUGGACAAAGAUUUUACAGCACUAUACGAUAUCAAAACUCCCUCUGCUACAUGUGACAGAGGUUGGAAACAGAGGCGGAGACUCUCGGGUACCAAACAAGAGCUUAGGCGGCCUAGUUUUGGAUAUCAACUUAGCUUGCCAUUUUAUAACCUCAUACAUAAGGUAGAGACGUGAAGAAAAGAAAGUUGAAGUCGUUUGAGUAUGUUGUUAACUCUGUUUGGUAUGUGUGAAAUAGUGGAGCAGAGCAUAUUCCAUGCUUUCACAAAUAGAUACUUUAAAUAGCUAUAGAUGAAGAAGAAAGCAGAGCAGGAAAUGGUUAAAAUUAACCGAAUUGGUAAAUCAUGUUGAUGCUCAUUUGCCAGAAUAAUGUAUCCACCCGUUUCUAGGAAAAGGCUAUUUUCCCAUAUCCU